CAAAUGGUGGCCGAGUGGUUAAGGCGAUGGACUGCUAAUCCAUUGUGCUCUGCAAUUGCUCCUUGUGUUCGAAUCCCAUCCAUUGUC
rnacentral:tRNA from 1 species